UUCCACAACCACUGCAUCUGCAUAAGUUGUUAAACCAACCAGGCCAACCAGCAGUGCCCGCUGAUCCGACAGAUCAGAAACUUGAGGCCGCUGCCCGUGGCGUAGAGGACAGCCUUCAAGUCUUCUAAGCCAGGGGGUGUGAGAUCGAAUCCCGGUCACGGCAUACAUAGUGCACUUUCGGUGGGUUCGUGGUUUUAGCAUUUGUAAGAUGCUAGCCAUCAUAUCCUCGAAAGAUGUACGCUUAGAGUUAAGAAAAAGGGAAUCUCUUCGAGGAAACAUCAUGUUUCAUUGAGAUCCUGUAUGUGUUUGUGUUCGUUUAAAAAAAAAAAAAAAAAAAAAACUUGAGCGACGAAGAGGAAUUCGGCAUGACCAACAGGAAAAGUGAAAAAUAUUCUGUUGAUUUUUUCCUGGUAAAUGCAUUUAAAUAAAAAAACGAGAUUAUUUGUCAUGUGAUCACAAAACAACAUAAAAUAUUGUUGUUGAGAUAUGAAAUCGUGUAAAAUUCGAUUUCCUGGAAAGUUUAAGAAAAUACUACCAAAAUGCUCUGCAGAUAACGAUGGUCAUCAAAGAAAUGAAAGAUUACCAUAAUCACUUCCAGAUGAUUAAACCGGGUAAGUGAAAUUAGGAAAUGAUAGACGGCGAUUGCUUUUUAAACAAUUCCAGAUACUUAUUUUUGAAAAACGUGAUCUGAAAGUUAAACCCACUAGGCGUGAUUUCUAAUAGUAAAUUAAAUUAAAAUUAACAAAUUUCGUUAAAUCUUAGGUUAAAGCGUCAAUAAACUAUUUAAAAAAAUAAUGCUAAUAAAUGUUCAUCAUCUUCAGCUUUGAAAAGCAUUUCUGUUUUGAUAAGAAGAACAAAUACUAUUAUGACUAAGGCAGUUUCCAUAAAAUACGUUGAUUGAAAGUCGUGAAACGAUUCUUAUUUUGACUUCAUUUGGAAUCUCUUUGAUUAUUGAUUUUUGCGUAUUUUCAUGUUAAAAAAAUAAAUGAAUGUCUUAAUCAGAGUUAUUUUCUAAAUGUUGAAAUUAAAAAAAUUGCAUAUGAUCUAAAGUUGAAAAAUUAAAAUCUUAUUUUAAAGUUUCGUAGGGAGCCAAUUUUAUAAAGUCUCAAACAUUUUACAGCCAUCUCCUAAAUAUGAUGCAUCCCAAAGAGCAUCAAUAGAGUUUGAUGCAGUGAUAAAUUCUAAUUACUCAACCCAAAAGACACUGGAGCUGGCGGUAUAUCUUUCCGUGCUCACUAGUCCGAUGGCAGCUUUUCAUCAACUCCGGAUUACACUAUAUCGUGCUUUCCGGUAAAAAAAUUGAAAGCAAUCCCACGCACAAAGGCUGCGUUACACAUCAGUUGGGCGCUCAGGUCGGCAGACAAAUAUUCCGAUUUCCCGAGGCAAUGGUCAGAGAUGUAAUUGAUCGCACCGAGUAUUGCAAAUACUACAACGAAAUCCCAGACAAGCACCUCGUAUUAUGACCGAUAGAAGCAGCAAUGUUUUGUUCAAGUUUUGAAGUCGGACACGAUGAACAAUAAUGCGAGGUUAAUUUUAAAUAAAUUAACACAAAUCUA